AAAUGGAUGCGUGAGGGAUAGUAGUGGAAAUCCUUUUGUGUCCCGAGGCUUCGGGAGCACAAAAGAUUGAAACGAAUAGCCCGACCCGGA
rnacentral:sRNA from 1 species